rnacentral:rRNA from 1 species
UACGUAGGGCGCAAGCGUUGUCCGGAAUUAUUGGGCGUAAAGAGCUCGUAGGCGGCUUGUCACGUCGGAUGUGAAAGCCCCGAGGCUUAACCUCGGGUCUGCAUUCGAUACGGGCUAGCUAGAGUGUGGUAGGGGGAGAUCGGAAUUCCUGGUGUAGCGGUGAAAUGCGCAGAUAUCAGGAGGAACACCGGUGGCGAAGGCGGAUCUCUGGGCCAUUACUGACGCUGAGGAGCGAAAGCGUGGGAGCGAACAGG